UGCUUUUGUAUUGUUUUCUUGUGUAAUUGUCGUUAGCAUUUACUUUGUUGUUUGUGUUUUGUUAUAAGCAUUCUUGGAGAGUUAAAACUUAUUGUAAGUGAGGUCAUUUGGGCAAGUGGUUGUAACACAUUGGGGGUUAUCUAUUAGGGCUACAACUGCUUCUUAUUUAAGGAUAGAUUGAGCUUUAGCCAAUAGAUUGUUGGAUCAAUUGUUGAACAAACUAUUCACCGAGUGAGGGUCUACAAAGUAGAAUUAAUUUCGAAUUGAGUUUGUAAAGCUUCUGUACUUAUCUCUCCCUCACUCUCUUUGCUUAUUGUUUUUGUUCUUUGAGUUGUUCAAAUUUGUGUUGGAAAAAUUCGGUUUAAGAAAAUGGUUUACAGUAAUAGUG
rnacentral:lncRNA from 1 species